rnacentral:rRNA from 1 species
AGAAUCAACGCUGGCGGCGUGCCUAACACAUGCAAGUCGAACGAGAAAGUGGGAGCAAUCCCACGAGUAAAGUGGCGCACGGGUGAGUAACACGUGACUAACCUACCCUUGAGUGGGGGAUAACCUAGGGAAACCUGGGCUAAUACCGCAUAAUACCUACGGGUCAAAGGAGCAAUUCGCUUUAGGAGGGGGUCGCGGCAGAUUAGUUAGUUGGCGGGGUAAUGGCCCACCAAGACAGUGAUCUGUAUCCGGCCUGAGAGGGCGCACGGACACACUGGAACUGAAACACGGUCCAGACUCCUACGGGAGGCAGCAGUGGGAAUUUGCGCAAUGGGGGAAACCCUGACGCAGCAACGCCGCGUGGAGGAUGAAGCCCCUUGGGGCCGUAAACUCCUUUCGAUCGGGAAGAUAAUGACGGUACCGGAAGAAGAAGCCCCGGCUAACUUCGCGCCAGCAGCCGC